UUGAAUGUUACAUUAACAUUUUAAUCAGCCGCGGAGUCUUCGAGGUACAAUUCGACUCCUGCAUUACAUAUAGACGUGUUCAUUAUAAACCGAAUGGAAGCUGACGGAUUAUAGACUGGGAACUGUGUCACGUCGGGUCGACUCCAGUGGAUUAAAGGACACGUCUCCACCAAACAGAAAAAUGUUCGGCAUUCUGACUCAUCUGAUCACGUUAUCCUGGCAGGAAUCGAGCGCGCUGCCUCGCAUUGCUGGAAAUGUAUGGACGCUUUAAACAAUAGCAAAGAAAACAGAUGUCACUCGACAUAAAUAAUACACAAAAUGGACCCAACCAGACUCCUGGGUCUUCAUUAUCAGUGAGGAUUAGAUUCAAACCUGCGACCCCAGCAGCAUGCGGCAGUGAAAAGCAGGAGGCAGCCUCCCCAGGCAAGCAUUUCCAGCGUGAGCCCAGUGAGCGUGGCUCUGGGGACGGACCGAGUCACUCCCGAGCAGCAUUAGGAAAAGAUUGAGCCAGGAUACAGGGCACUAACGGAGACGACAAGCGGCAUCCCAAGGGAAUUGGCAACGGGUGACUUCGCCAUAAAACACAGAUUUGGCAGGAAGGGAGCCGUGUGACAAGGGCACGGCGAAAUCAACACCCAGGCAUGAAGGAACUCGUCACCACGGAGGCUGGGGGAGGGGGCAUGCCACAGUUCUCCUAGCUUGUGCCCGCCUUUCUCACAGGAAGCCAUUUAACCAGGAGCACGGUGUGGUGACAUUUACUCUGAGUGCGGUUCAAAUCGUUAAUUAACCCGAUGACAUGCGUGUGGUCCCAGCUCCUCGGGUAACAUUUAACACGGCCCUGCCCACAAACAGGCAAUGGCACCUCAGAGAACACGACGUCGGGGCACGGCGUGCAUCUCGUGAGUCUGUAUCGCCACGACCUAUGCAAAUACACACUGACACUCAUCGCUUUCCCCCCGCCAGCAUGUUCGUCACAUGUCUCACAUGAUCCUUGGCGCCGUUUAUGCGACGCAGUGCACUGCAUUAAUAUCAAGCAUGCCGGCCGAGGCCAGUGUUGAGCCAAUUGCCCCCCAUCUGCUGGCAUGGAGGCGACGCUGGCACCCGGUAGGCCGCUGUCCGCCAUGAUGACUUUCCAUUAUAUACAGUAUGGUGGGUCAAACUGGCAUGUUGGUGACCUAUAAUGGCUCACUGGAGCUGUGAAAAAGACUGACGUUUUAGGCCGGACAAGAUGUUGAUGAAAUGGCGUAGUAAUGUGCUAAACAGUGCUGGGAAAGGGAUCUUCAUGAGCCAAAGCCUGUUAGUCAUCAGCGAAGUGAGGCACACAACACAUAUAUCCCCAAGGUUCCAGAAAGUUCCAGAAAGUUAAGCAUUAGCUCCUUCAACACGGACACCAUAUGGUAAGCCGGUGCAAAUGAAUGCAUAGUAAUUUAAUGUGAUAAUGACUGAGAGCAGCUUUGUGCUGGGAUACCUCCGCUGGCUGAUAUCAAGUUACAGAUUUCAUCAUGCUCCCCUUUCAGGGCUUUUACUCAUGCAGGUAAUGCGGGGAGUGACAUACCUGGCCAGUAACGCAGCACUCGGAAUAAUGCGAGAAGGGGAGGGCGCAGCCCUGCUGCCUCGGAGAUACCCACGCGGAAACACAGCGGCGCAUGCGGGAAGAGACACUGGGAGCAUUUUGAGAUACUGAUUGGCCUUUCAAAGGCCCCAGGGGAACGUAAUGAGCUGGAGCCUGCUGUAAUUGCGAAAAAUAUUGUGCCUGUAAACUAAACAUGAGUCUACAGGGUUUUCCAGGGGGCUGCCGGGGCCAUAAUUACUGCAUACGCCGGAUAGUUCUAAACCUGCACUGGCAAGCAUCUCUCCAAAUGCCCAGUUGUCCUCUAGAGUGCCAUCACACUGCCAAGGUUUCUAGUGUGUGUGGGUUUUGUUUGCUGUCUGUGUGCUACUCGAACAGCAAUUAGCAUGUUUGCAAUCAACAAGAUGUCGAUUCAAUACCUGAACCUCCCCACCCUGGGCAUGGUUUUGGGUCUUCACGCCGACUGGCAAGAUGACGAGUCAGCCCUUGAACGUUCAAAAGCAGUAAAAUGUUGACAUGGUAAUGGUUCCUCUGUCUGUUACCGCAGUAUCACCAGCCACAUUGGCGAAUGCAAACGAUGAGCUGGUAGGCAGAAAAUGGGAUGAUGGAUGGCAGAGUUUGAUCCCUGAUUCACACUUAAAUAUUAGCUUUCUCUGUACCAUCAGUGCCACCUCAGAAACUGUAACUGGAGACAGUGACAAACAACACCGGUGAAAUGGCACAUUUUAUAUAUUUUUUUAUUAUUAUUACUCAUAGUUGCUCAGACACGUGUAUAUACAAAUACAGACCUUAAGAGUUUUUUUCUGACUUUUUUUAUUCUUGUUUAUAUACUGGAAAAGCAGGUCAAUACUGCACUAGUAAGUGCAAAAAAAAAUCAAAAGAAAACAACAAAAAAAAAA